rnacentral:rRNA from 1 species
AUCGCAAGACCUCGCGCGAUUGGAGCGGCCGAUAUCGGAUUAGCUAGUUGGUGGGGUAAAGGCUCACCAAGGCGACGAUCCGUAGCGGGUCUGAGAGGACGACCCGCCACACUGGAACUGAGACACGGUCCAGACUCCUACGGGAGGCACGCAGUGGGGAAUUUUGGGACAAUGGGGGCAACCCUGAUCCAGCCAUUCCGCGUGAGUGAAGAAGGCCUUCGGGUUGUAAAGCUCUUUCAGCAGGAACGAAACGGUGGUCCCUAAUACGGACUACUAAUGACGGUACCUGAAGAAGAAGCACCGGCUAACUACGUG